rnacentral:rRNA from 1 species
UACGGGAGGCAGCAGUGGGGAAUAUUGCACAAUGGGCGAAAGCCUGAUGCAGCUAUGCCGCGUGUAUGAAGAAGGCCUUAGGGUUGUAAAGUACUUUCAUCGGGGAGGAAAAACAAAACUAAUAAUUUUAUUUCUUGACGUUACCCGAAAAAGAAGCACCGGCUAACUCCGUGCCAGCAGCCGCGGUAAUACGGAGGGUGCUAGCGUUAAUCAGAAUUACUGGGCGUAAAAGAGCACGUAGGUGGUUUUUUUAAGUCAGAUGUGAAAUCCCCUGGGCUUAACCUAGGAACUGCAUUUUGAAACUGAAAUACUAGAGUAUCGUAGAGGGAGGUAGAAUUCUAGGUGUAGCGGUGAAAUGCGUAGAUAUCUGGAGGAAUACCUGUGGCGAAAGCGGCCUCCUAAACGAAUACUGACACUGAGGGUGCGAAAAGCGUGGGGAGCAAACAGGGAUUAGAUACC